CUACCGCUCCAAUGCGCUCUAAAAUUUAGUAGGGUUCAUAGAACCAAGGUGAAACUUUAUAGAUACUCUAGUCUAGAUUGAUGUUUGCUUAUAUGGCUGGAGUCGUAGGAAGACCCAAUCUCCUACUGAAAAUUCUCUUUCGCCUUUGCGUUGAUCAUAUUAUUGUUUCAUCCUUUCUUGAGCUAUAGUGAGAUUAUCUUUUAGCAACUUUAGAAUUUUAUC
rnacentral:lncRNA from 1 species